rnacentral:rRNA from 1 species
UACGUAGGGGGCAAGCGUUGUCCGGAAUUAUUGGGCGUAAAGAGCUCGUAGGCGGUUUGUCGCGUCUGCUGUGAAAUCCCGAGGCUCAACCUCGGGCUUGCAGUGGGUACGGGCAGACUAGAGUGGCGGUAGGGGAGACUGGAAUUCCUGGGUGUAGCGGUGGAAUGCGCAGAUAUCAGGAGGAACACCGAGUGGCGAAGGCAGGUCUCUGGGCCGCAACUGACGCU